GCUCCAAAGGUCUUCUCGUGCCCUAGUGAACAAGAGGGAUUUCGAAGAUGAAGCGGACAACUACAUCAUACGCCAAAGGGAGAGCACAUCCAUGGGGGAAAAAAAGACUAACACCAUACUUUCAAGGAUCCUCCUGCUGAUCUUGAAUCGCUGGUGUCUUGUUCAGGACUAUCCCCCCUAGCUGUUCCAGAUUUUACUGGUGCAUUUU
rnacentral:lncRNA from 1 species